UAAAAGAGGCCAGACAACAAAAUGUAUACAG
rnacentral:piRNA from 1 species